rnacentral:rRNA from 1 species
AUUGAACGCUGGCGGAAUGCUUUACACAGGCAAGUCGAACGGCAGCACGGAGAGCUUGCUCUCUGGUGGCGAGUGGCGAACGGGUGAGUAAUAUAUCAGAACGUGUCCAAUAAUGGGGGAUAACGAGUCGAAAGAUUCGCUAAUACCGCAUACGCCCUACGGGGGAAAGCAGGGGAUCGUAAGACCGUGCGUUAAUGGAGCGGCCGAUAUCUGAUUAGCUUGUUGGUGAGGUAAAGGCUCACCAAGGCGACGAUCAGUAGCUGGUUUGAGAGAACGACCAGCCACACUGGAACUGAGACACGGUCCAGACUCCUACGGGAGGCAGCAGUGGGGAAUUUUGGACAAUGGGGGCAACCCUGAUCCAGCCAUUCCGCGUGAGUGAAGGAGGCCUUCGGGUUGUAAAGCUCUUUCGCAAGGGAAGAAAACUUAUGAUCGAAUAAGUCAUGAGGUUGACGGUACCUUGAUAAGAAGCACCGGCUAACUACGUGCCAGCCGCCGCCGUAA